UUCUUUUAUAACCAUUGUUAUUUUAUUUUGCUUUAAAAAUUUUCCACGGACGCUAUUUUGUUAAUAUAGCACAAUUAUUUUUUCUAUUUAAAUUUAUACUAUGUGUCAAAUUGGAUCUCUUUAGAUUAAUUAGUUGUAGAAAUAAUACGUUUUUAUAAAAACUAAAAUGGAGGCUAGCGUAUAAACUAGAUAUUUCUCUGUGUAUAUUUAUAUGCAUUUUUUUGUGUUUUUCCGCCAAACAUGUCACAGUUGAGUUGUCAUCACUUGUUUGUUGCUCCCGGCUUGUGCAAGCGUGUCUUUAAAGUGGUCGUGCUCGCUUAUGCGUUGACGGAUUUCGUUAGAAAAAAGUUUGUGAAACCCUGUAUAUAUUGUUUGUAUAUUUAAACUUUACAGUGCAACAAAAUUAGAGAUUUUGAUUCUGAGUAAUCAUAAAAAUAUCGGAAAAUCCACAAACAAUGCGUACAUUAUAUAUAUAUUUAAAAGAAGACAUCUUCCAUAAUUUUGCCACAACAGAGAAGCGUGUUAAAUUUUUAUUAUGUUUACUUAUCAUUAAAUUAAAUUAAUAUUUUUAAAUUCAGUACAUCUGUAAGUUUAGUUACUUAGUAUAGAAGUAUAUAAAUAAGGAACUUGUAUAAUUUGUAGUUUUCAUCUUGCCAUUGUAUAAAAUCUACAGUAGGUUAAUAAAGACAGUGAAGAUGUCUGGUAACAAGGUGUCUGUUACAAUGUUGGCGUGACAGUGCACUCUCGCUAAUAGAAUAACAGGGUCGCAAUUAUUUACUUACUACGGCCGAGUAAUUAUAAUGGUGACCUGCGCUGGAACGGGGUUUUCCAAAAUGCAUGACAAAGUGCUGACAGCUAAAAUGUCGGGUCUGAGAAUCUGGGUCACUGUUGUGUCGAUAUCAGCGUUCCUUGGGGUUCUCCCGCUCUAUACUGUGUAAAUUAAAAUGUUUUCUCAAAUUAAAUCAAUCUCCAGCAUUAUACAUCUCGACAUUAAAUUACAAUAAAUUAACAUUUACUCUUCUUCUAAACCGUAUCUUGUAAUGUAAUUAAUUCGUUUUUUGAGUGCAUUUUAUAUAAAUACAUAUUUACGUCAUUUUGUGGAGAAAGGAAUCAAAUUUAAUUUAGGAAGCGAGUAAAUAAAAUCAAACUGUAAAAGAAGGAACUUCAGUGCCGAUUGUAGUGAAAAUAUUUUGAAUUUUGUCUCAUAAGAAUAUGGGUCGACCGUUAUUUGUUUUUUUUGUCGUAAAUAUGACAUUUUAAAGAUUUAUUUAGUAUAUAUCUGCACGUUUUUCAACUGUUCUUGUUAAGUGUAGACUUAUUAUAUUUUCAAUAUUUAAGUGAUUAAUUACCAACUUUAUUGAGGAGUCCUGUUCGGAAUAACGACUACAAAUGUUUAAAAUUUAAAAAGCUAUUGGGGAUGUAUGUUAAUCAUGUUUAAAAUGAGACAACUCUCAUAACUGUGUGACAAAAACCAAAGCCAUAAAAGUGUUUGAAGUUCAACUUUGUUCUCAUGAGACUAAAAUCAAGAUGGCCGUCGGUAAAGCCGGGAUUGUGAUGCGAUCCGAAGUUUUGUUAUGAUUGAGCUUUUUUACUCUAUUUGGGAGAAUUUUAACUCCUUGUAAAACAGUUAAACAAUUAGUGAUAAUAUUUUGGUAUAGAUUUGGUUAAGGAAGGUUAUUAACGUAUAAUAAUAUCUGAUUGAUUUAAAAUUAUGCAUUAGAGAUAUAAAUACAAUUAGAGAAAAAUACAAUUUCUUUAAAGGAAGAAAUUUUUAUUAUUGAACUAAUAAGAGUUGCAUAACAGUACCAUUCGGCUCUCUGGAGUAUUCUAUUUUAAGAUUCGAUCUUAUCUAAUAUUUCGUUAAACAUUCGGUACGAAAACUUAUUCAUGGAGGCGCUCUAUCCAACGAGAUUUCGUUGCUGACCGACGCGCACCAUAGUUCGGGAAAUAUUGGAACUACGUGUAGGACAUAACAGCUAAAGACAGUACAUUGUAUCAGAAACGGAUACGGAAAAAGGUCUAAUGGAAACAAAACGUAUUCUGAAGCACAUGUUAGUAUGAUGGGAAAUCAGUGAACAAAAUUUAUAUUUUCAAUUUACGUAAUUAUAAAAAAUAAUUAUGUUAUUUCAAAGAAACAAUUAUUCUGUGUUCUUUUUUGAAAAUUAAUUAACGAGUACAAUGAAUUAAACACCGUUUGUAUCCGAUUUAAAAUAAGUCAGGACGACCGUUUGUAACUAACAUUGGUUAAGUGACUAAACUCAAGAUGGUUGAGGGGUAAUACACCCCCUUUAUGAGAAAGGGUGGACCUCGCAACCAAAUCUAGCUUCUUAUGUACGUGCAUUCAGACUGGUGAUUUUAGUACGUUGUUACUCUUUUGCUGCAAAAUCAUAAAUAAUGUAACUUGAAGCUCAAAUAGAGUGAGAAGACUACUUGAAGUUUGUGCUUGCGUUGAACACCGCACCGACACUGUUCAGUGAAAACGCUACGGGAUAAUUAUGAAGAGUUCGCUAUCUAUAGGUCACGUCAACCGCCCACAGGCGUCCAGUAGCAUGAGAAAGCGAUACUAAGCAGACCUGUAUUGUCAUCUGGCUUUCACCGUCGAUACUGCAGAGUAGUCCAUCAGUAGAAGUGGGAGACGCAUCCGGGGUUACUAUACGUCCGUCUUCGGCGUGUGAAUCCGCAUUGACCGUACUUCUCAGUCGGCUAAACGAUAUCGUCAUUUGCUGAAUAUACCACAGUUCAUCAGAUCAUGCUAAAGUUAUUGGCACGUGUCUGUGUUUAAACGCUGUCGGAGAACAUUGAUUUGAUGAAAUAUAAUAUCUUUUGAUGAAGGUCUUUAAUGAUCUCCGGGCUGUAACUGGAGUGAACACGGCUCUCCCCCUGCGUGCAGUUUUCAUCCAUAGGUCUCAUUUCAUGAUUUAUGGUUAUGUGAUUAGCCACAGCUCAAUCUUGAUCAGGAUGUUCCACAUUUCAUCAUUAAGAACUUACGACCGUGGCCAGUGCCUGGAGCACGGCGAUGGUACAUUAGUCAAGGAAAAUGGGCGUCAACCUUCUCUAUAGUUCAUAUCUGUUGCUUCGCUGGAAGUCCAAUACUUCUAUUGGUUUUGAAUACUUCCAAUCUCCGUCCGGAGAUUUCGUGGAGUUUUGUAUACCAUUAGCUGUAUCAGUAUCUUGUAAUCGGCUCUUUUUUAAGCCAGUGCGUCUGUUCUACAUGUUAACACAACAAUCAUAAUGCAUUGGAGGUUACACUCAUAAAACUCAUAAAAUAAUGUGAUUGUUCGCAACUUAUUAACUUUGAUGAAGUGAAAGCGUUGUGCACAAUUUUCGGUUUACUUAAUGAUCAUCACCGAUAUGAGGAAAGUAUGGAGACAUCAUCGUGUCACUCUUCAACUGACUUAAUAUUUACAAAAAAAAACAUUUUGCAGGUCGUGGAACAUUUCCAAUUACAAUUAACUGUUCUCAAAGUGGUAUUGGAAUAUUUCGACAUGAAGUACGCUUAAUAGCUUUAAAAAUUCCCGGACGGAAACUGAAAAUGGUUGUAUACACAGCUGUACUACAAUUUAACAAAUACAAAUAUAUUCUAGACUGCUUCUACUUUAGGCAAGUCAGAGGAGACUUGAAAUUUUCCUUAGUUGAACGAGCAAAUUGUCGGUUUAAUAAAAUAUUGUAAAAUGAAAUUUGAAGUUGUUGGUGAGAGAGCAACACACACAGCUAGUGCCUGCAACACGAAGCCACAAUCGAAUCUUCCGUCCUUGAUGGCACAUAGACAUUAACAAUGUAGUUAUAUGUUUAGGUUAGAAAUUACACCAACAGGUUUGGGAACAGGGAACGUCAGAUUGCCAGUUAAAAGCUCUUCAUUCAAUUAGAGGGGUUUAGUUUUCUGUUAAUGGGAGAUUUGAUUUAGCCCAUCUCCAAAUUGUUACGAAAUUACUUUUUAACGUGUUAGCUGUACUCUUUUUCCAUUAGUUCGUUAUAGCCUUUAUAUCAUCAAUGACGUUUUUAUUUUUCUAAUUAAUUCUCGUUUAUACACCAGAAUUAUUUAUUUGUAAUAAGACAUGUGCAACUAUACCUGAUUGGCUUUUGAAAUGAUACUGUUUUAUUUUGUUAUAAGUUACAGCAAGAUUUGUGGUUGUUAGUAAUUCAUGAGUAUGAUUUUUUUUGAAGUUAGGUACAUUAGGUGAAACCUAGUACAAAUUUAAAAAAAUGUACAAACGUUAAUCUACCCUGAGUAUAGUCCAGUUUUGAAUUUCGCCUGUUUCAUUAGUUGUGUUUAGAAGUGUCUGGAAAUGUCACAGAAGUUGAAGACUCCACAGUGUUGAAUUCAGUAGAGUUUAAAUAUAAAGUUUGGAAACGCUUCAAACUCCGCUGUAGGCAACAUCACUACCCGUCCACCACUGUUCUAGCGACUACUUACCCCCUGUCCGACUGCACCCUUCUCCUCAAACUCCUCAACUCCUCUCUCCAAGCACACUAUCUCAAGACUUCAUCUUUUUCAUAUUAACUUUGUUGUUUUUGGAAGGAAUAAAAUAAUUUAUUCAUUAUUCACUUCUUCACUUACUCUAUUGCAUCAUGGCCAAACUGUGAGCUAAAAGCAUAAUUCCAUGGUUGGACAUGCACCAUCAUAGAACUCAUUCUUCUCUAUGUAGGAAUUAAUCUUCGUGCAAAAUGUAAAGUAUAAAUAUAAAAUUACUCUCGAGAUAUUAUAUUGGCUUAUGAGACAUUCUAAUUUUGUACAUUACGUUAGUCUUCAUAGCAGUGUUUAAACAAUAACAAAUCAUUAAAGAUGAUAGGUCAGUUAGGCUGCAUGUGUUAAUAUGCCACAUGAUAAAAUAUCAAAAUUGAUUACAAACUUAAUCAUUUUGCUAUUUUCUCGUUUACAUUAAACAUAAAAGCACUGUAGUAAAAUGUCACAAAUAUCCUUGUAGCUUAAUCGCAUAUACUAAAAUGCAAAAUCAUCUAACUCAAUGAAGAACCAAAGUAGAAGUGAAGCUUCAUGGAAUGUUUCAAGUAUUUAGGUCAGGCCGUUCUCGAGAUACCGUGGGGCCGAACGGAAAUGAAAUUACCCAGCUCCUUAAGUGAUAGGCAACAGGUUGUACAGAUCCUGAAGUAGAAGCAAGUGAAAAUGAAUCCAAGUAUGGGUACAGAUAUUAUGGAUGGAAUUAGGCAUGUGUUUAAUCGAUGCAGUUGCCGUGCGCCAGUAAUACUGGAUUUAGAUGUAAUGAAAACUUAUAGCCUGAGCGAGUUUUGUGUAAAGUCGGAGUUUUUAAAUUAGUGACAGUGAGCAGGCGCAGAACUACUGUAAGGAUGGAUAGUAAAACCGCGGGCUCUUGGGUUACGAUCAUUGGCCGCAACUUCAACUUGGUCUGCAUCGAGUUUUGUGUGAAGUCGGAGUUUUAAAAUUAGUGUGAUUAUUAAAUAUGAACUGUGAGCAGGCGCAGAACUGCUGUACGGAUGGAUAGUAAAACCGCGGGCUCUUGGGUUACGAUCAUUGGCCGCAACUUCAACUUGGUUCGCAGCGAGUUUUGUGUGAAGUCGGAGUUUUAAAAUGAGUGUGAUUAUUAAAUAUGAACUGUGAGCAGGCGCAGAACUACUGUACGGAUGGAUAGUAAAACCGCGGGCUCUUGGGUUACGAUCACUGGGCACAGCUUGAAAUUGGCCCAUUUACGGCCUUGCGAUUCGUCACACUUUUCCGUGUAAAGAAAGAAAAGCGUGCAGGCGACCCACUCACUCCCAGCUCGCGCUACCCUGCUUUCAAUUUCACUUCUCUGCUCCGAAAUAGAAAACUUUUUGUGGGUGUUUGCUCUACGAUGUGUGAUAAAAGAGAUAGGCUUACCCAAAUUGAUUACUACAGUUGCUAAAUUAAAUGAGUAUUUGAUCCUAUAUGGUUUUAAUACACAUAUGCAACGUUUUAUCUUAUUUCUGAAUUAUAUAAGUUUUGAAAGUAGUUAUUUAAUUGUAAAUCGUAAAGUCGGUGGUUUUCUGCAGACAAAACUCGUUUUCUGUUGGAACUGAGUCAUGUCCGUUAUAGGUCGAAAUUAGAUCUGUACCGUUUUCUCAUCUCCGUCCUGUUUUGUCUUUUCAGUCGUGACAGAUAAGGAGAUGGACGAUAACGUAACAAAAGUAGGAAGUGGAGAUAAACAAUGUGUGCUGUUGUCACGUUUUGUGUUUUAGAGGACAGUUUGUUACCGUGAAAUUGUGCUGAACUACUUUCCCGGCAGUCUGUGUUACGUGUUUUGCAUGAAAUCUGCUUAAAACGUAUUUGCAGUUGAAGGUGGCUAAGAAUUGAACUCUUGUCAACUAAUAUUUUUUAGUGUACUCGUAUUUUUUUGAAUACUUUCGUAAUUGAUGGCAACUUCAGUAGUCUUGCUGCCUUCUUACCUCCCUCCCUCUCCCCCAAUUGUAACACAUUUUGUUCCUGUUGCCGCCCGGAGUGUAAGGGUGUUGUCAAGCGAACAUAUGUUUUGUUUUGACGUAUCAAGCGGCAUGGUGUGUUUUACGAUAUUUUUAUUUGGAAGGGAGGUUGAUUAUAAAAUUACUUUUUACCCUUGGGAACACGGUGAUGUAAAACAGGCGUACUUCCCGAGUUGCAGACAAAUUCACACUCGUGGGGUUUUUUAUAGCGGUUUGUUUGCGCGGUGUAAACAUUGUUGCACCUAAACACGAGGUGUUGAGACGGUCGCGCUCGUACGGUUCCGGUGACGCUCGGCUAUCUUCGGGACGGGUCGGAUCCGCCUCAGCCCAGCCAGCCAGCGUCGCCGCCGCCAAUGAUAGUCUGUGUGUGUCUGUGUAGGCGCGCGCAGCAGCUGGUCCUUCUGUGUGGUGACGUGCGUGCGUGUGUCGACGACAUUUUGUGACCAGUGAAUAAACUGCGGGAGUAAUGAUGGUGUGCACCCACGCCUAGUUGCUCCGGUGUGCCGAAGAGAUGCUGACGGCCGCCCGGGCCUCGCACACCCCCGGCCCCCAGGAAGGUAUCGACCACUUGUUCCUUCUCCCAGAACGUGUCCUGACCAUGGAUUCCGCAUCCCUUCACCGGGACCUCGCCGGCCUGGACUUCAGCGUCCACUUGCUGCAGGACGGCCCCAGAGGAAACGUCUGGCUAUGUAAGAUGAAACAAAUAUUAGUAUCCUUAGUACGUUAUAGUUUUUCAGAAGAUGGUAUCCUCUAUGCAGGCUGUGAAAACGGCCGUAAAAAGUAAAGGAUUUCAUGGGUAGUUUAAAAUUACUUCUAUAAAAUACUAGAACCUUCGUAGCUGAUUCUUAUUCUGAAUGGGGUUUUUCAACUAAAAAUCUUGCAUCCAGUUUUAAAUUGUAUAUUUAGCCCAAUUCAACAUUAAUUUAUUGCUACAAUGAUAAAUCUGUUUGAAAUCUUGGUUGUUUUAGAGAUUAAAGCGUUUAGUUCAUGUAAACAACUAGUUUUGCCGGUUAAAGUAUUGUCAGGUGCGAUAUCGAUUUGGUCCAGCAAUUAAUGAUUGUGUUAUGUAUGCCCUGAAACAGUAUUGUGGUAAGCUGUUAAGUCCUCAGUAUUGUAAUAGGUAGUGUAAAUGCAUAAACACUGAAGCUUUAUCGUAUCGUAUUAAUCAUUUGAGGACUAAAUGACAUCACGUCAGCUAAGGUUAUAUGAGAGGUGUCAGGUGAAGUUGGUGAACUCUGUUAGAGUAAUGGUCGGAAGUGUCGGGCCGAGAAUAGGAUAUCUGCGAUCAAUCCCGCGAUAAAUGAGGGCGUUGGCUACAUCACUACCACAGGUUCGUACCUCGUGCAGCGAUUGCGUUUCAUUAAUUGUCCUGGCCACAUUCAAUUCGUGUUGCCGAUUUUAGAUGAAACUUUACUGCAGGAAUUAAUAGGCUAAAAGCGACCGAUUUAGAGUUAACUCGCAGAGUUAUUAGUGCAUAUGUUUUGUUCCGAGCUCAGAUAAGAAUGGAAACAUUUAAAGGCGGCUUAAGUUUUCCCCAUAAGAACAACGUUAAACGUCAUGCACUUAACGCCCUUUUUUAUCGUAGCACUAUAGGAGAAUUGUUUAAAGAUAUAAUUAAUGACGCUUUUUAGCUUAAGUUGUAAGUUUAUGCUUUGUUAAUAUUUAAAGUAUGAAAUGCAAACACUAAUUAAACAUUUCAUUCUGGAUGACGUAUGGAAAAUAUCGAAAAGAACAAAAAAGCAUUGGAUGCGUAUUAACUGCAUUUUUUAAAUGAGACAUCUUCCAUAAAUUCUACGACAAAUAAAACGACGAAAAUUAAGCCGUAAUAGUGCGUGAGGUUUAACAUAGUUCUUACAGGACUAAAAUUAAGAUGGCUGCCAGUACA